rnacentral:rRNA from 1 species
AGAGUUUGAUCCUGGCUCAGGAUGAACGCUGGCGGCGUGCCUAAUACAUGCAAGUCGAGCGAACGGACGAGAAGCUUGCUUCUCUGAUGUUAGCGGCGGACGGGUGAGUAACACGUGGAUAACCUACCUAUAAGACUGGGAUAACUUCGGGAAACCGUAGCUAAUACCGGAUAAUAUUUUGAACCGCAUGGUUCAAAAGUGAAAGACGGUCUUGCUGUCACUUAUAGAUGGAUCCGCGCUGCAUUAGCUAGUUGGUAAGGUAACGGCUUACCAAGGCAACGAUGCAUAGCCGACCUGAGAGGGUGAUCGGCCACACUGGAACUGAGACACGGUCCAGACUCCUACGGGAGGCAGCAGUAGGGAAUCUUCCGCAAUGGGCGAAAGCCUGACGGAGCAACGCCGCGUGAGUGAUGAAGGUCUUCGGAUCGUAAAACUCUGUUAUUAGGGAAGAACAUAUGUGUAAGUAACUGUGCACAUCUUGACGGUACCUAAUCAGAAAGCCACGGCUAACUACGUGCCAGCAGCCGCGGUAAUACGUAGGUGGCAAGCGUUAUCCGGAAUUAUUGGGCGUAAAGCGCGCGUAGGCGGUUUUUUAAGUCUGAUGUGAAAGCCCACGGCUCAACCGUGGAGGGUCAUUGGAAACUGGAAAACUUGAGUGCAGAAGAGGAAAGUGGAAUUCCAUGUGUAGCGGUGAAAUGCGCAGAGAUAUGGAGGAACACCAGUGGCGAAGGCGACUUUCUGGUCUGUAACUGACGCUGAUGUGCGAAAGCGUGGGGAUCAAACAGGAUUAGAUACCCUGGUAGUCCACGCCGUAAACGAUGAGUGCUAAGUGUUAGGGGGUUUCCGCCCCUUAGUGCUGCAGCUAACGCAUUAAGCACUCCGCCUGGGGAGUACGACCGCAAGGUUGAAACUCAAAGGAAUUGACGGGGACCCGCACAAGCGGUGGAGCAUGUGGUUUAAUUCGAAGCAACGCGAAGAACCUUACCAAAUCUUGACAUCCUUUGACAACUCUAGAGAUAGAGCCUUCCCCUUCGGGGGACAAAGUGACAGGUGGUGCAUGGUUGUCGUCAGCUCGUGUCGUGAGAUGUUGGGUUAAGUCCCGCAACGAGCGCAACCCUU